rnacentral:rRNA from 1 species
UACGUAGGGUGCAAGCGUUAAUCGGAAUUACUGGGCGUAAAGCGUGCGCAGGCGGUUUUGUAAGUCUGUCGUGAAAGCCCCGGGCUCAACCUGGGAAUUGCAUUCGAGACUGAAUAGCUAGGGUACGGUAGAGGGAAGCGGAAUUUCCGGUGUAGCGGUGAAAUGCGUAGAUAUCGGAAGGAACAUCAGUGGCGAAAGCGGCUUCCUGGACC